CCUAGGGUGUGCUGCAGUGGGGAAUAUUGGACAAUGGGCGAAAGCCUGAUCCAGCCAUGCCGCGUGUGUGAAGAAGGCCUUCGGGUUGUAAAGCACUUUCAGUGGGGAAGAAAGCCUUGGGGCUAAUACCCUCGAGGAAGGACAUCACCCACAGAAGAAGCACCGGCUAACUCCGUGCCAGCAGCCGCGGUAAUACGGAGGGUGCGAGCGUUAAUCGGAAUUACUGGGCGUAAAGCGCGCGUAGGCGGUCUGAUAAGCCGGUUGUGAAAGCCCCGGGCUCAACCUGGGAACGGCAUCCGGAACUGUCAGGCUAGAGUGCAGGAGAGGAAGGUAGAAUUCCCGGUGUAGCGGUGAAAUGCGUAGAGAUCGGGAGGAAUACCAGUGGCGAAGGCGGCCUUCUGGACUGACACUGACGCUGAGGUGCGAAAGCGUGGGUAGCAAACAGGAUUAGAUACCCUAGUAGUC
rnacentral:rRNA from 1 species